AACGAACGCUGGCGGCAGGCCUAACACAUGCAAGUCGAGCGAGAUCUUCGGGUCUAGCGGCGGACGGGUGAGUAACGCGUGGGAAUAUGCCUCUUGGUACGGAAUAGCCUCGGGAAACUGGGAGUAAUACCGUAUGUGCCCUUUGGGGGAAAGAUUUAUCGCCAAGAGAUUAGCCCGCGUUGGAUUAGGUAGUUGGUGGGGUAAUGGCCCACCAAGCCGACGAUCCAUAGCUGGUUUGAGAGGAUGAUCAGCCACACUGGGACUGAGACACGGCCCAGACUCCUACGGGAGGCAGCAGUGGGGAAUCUUAGACAAUGGGGGCAACCCUGAUCUAGCCAUGCCGCGUGAGUGAUGAAGGCCUUAGGGUUGUAAAGCUCUUUCAGCUGGGAAGAUAAUGACGGUACCAGCAGAAGAAGCCCCGGCUAACUCCGUG
rnacentral:rRNA from 1 species